rnacentral:rRNA from 1 species
ACUGGUACUGAGACACGGACCAGACUCCUACGGGAGGCAGCAGUGAGGAAUAUUGGUCAAUGGGAGAGAUCCUGAACCAGCCAAGCCGCGUGAGGGAAGACGGCCCUAUGGGUUGUAAACCUCUUUUGUCGGAGAACAAAACCCGGGACGUGUCCCGGACUGCGUGUAUCCGAAGAAAAAGCAUCGGCUAACUCCGUGCCAGCAGCCGCGGUAAUACGGAGGAUGCGAGCGUUAUCCGGAUUUAUUGGGUUUAAAGGGUGCGUAGGCGGUCCGUUAAGUCAGCGGUAAAAUUGCGGGGCUCAACCCCGUCGAGCCGUUGAAACUGGCAGACUUGAGUUGGCGAGAAGUACGCGGAAUGCGCGGUGUAGCGGUGAAAUGCAUAGAUAUCGCGCAGAACUCCGAUUGCGAAGGCAGCGUACCGGCGCCAGACUGACGCUGAGGCACGAAAGCGUGGGGAUCGAACAGGAUUAGAUACCCUGGUAGUCCACGCAGUAAACGAUGAAUGCUGGUUGUCCGGGUCGAAUGAGAUCUGGGCGGC